rnacentral:rRNA from 1 species
CCUACGUGAGGCUGCAGUAGGGAAUCUUCCACAAUGGGCGAAAGCCUGAUGGAGCAACGCCGCGUGGGUGAAGAAGGUCUUCGGAUCGUAAAACCCUGUUGUUAGAGAAGAAAGUGCGUGAGAGUAACUGUUCACGUUUCGACGGUAUCUAACCAGAAAGCCACGGCUAACUACGUGUCAGCAGCCGCGGUAAUACGUAGGUGGCAAGCGUUAUCCGGAUUUAUUGGGCGUAAAGGGAACGCAGGCGGUCUUUUAAGUCUGAUGUGAAAGCCUUCGGCUUAACCGGAGUAGUGCAUUGGAAACUGGGAGACUUGAGUGCAGAAGAGGAGAGUGGAACUCCAUGUGUAGCGGUGAAAUGCGUAGAUAUAUGGAAGAACACCAGUGGCGAAAGCGGCUCUCUGGUCUGUAACGGACGCUGAGGUUCGAAAGCGUGGGUAGCAAACAGGAUUAGAUACCACGGUAGUC